rnacentral:piRNA from 1 species
UACCCCAAUGUGCUGGGCACAGAAUGACAUC